rnacentral:lncRNA from 1 species
GCAAUCUCACGUAUGGAAUGAACAUAUACACAAGCUUAGUUUGUCAUCAACACAUCUCUGGAUUUCCAUACAUCUCAUAACUCAAGCUUUAAAGCAUCGAUUCAUCAAUUCUCCAUAGUUGGACAUUUUGUCAAACACCUUGAAGGCAUGUAAUGGAAUCAAAGAGCAUGGAAAAUAGGGUAGUAAUUAUGCAGCCAAACCAAUGAACAACCUACAACAACACCUUUUUAACACCCACAAUACCACAUGAAAAUCUCCACAUCCAUUCCAAAUUUAGGUUCAAGUUCUAGGGUCACAACAUGCUCAAAACAAUCACUUUUCAUGUUUAAAAUUCAAUGUGCAGGAAAUUAUUACAAAGAACAAGACUAAUUUAUGAAUCUUAACUUAAACCAUGAAUUAGUGAGUAGAAUAGAGUCUAGGCACUAUGGGUGGAAGGACCCAUGAGUUCAACACCACAUACCUUGAGUUUUUAUGAAGGUCUUGAGAGUGUCUUCAAUGGAAGCUUGGAACUUGGAGCAAGAGUCUCUUCAAUCUUGAGGAAGGUUUUGGAUUAGGGUUCUUGAGAGAACUUGAGAGAAAAUGUGUCUAAGUAUGGGAGAGAUGUUUUGGGAAAUGUUUUUGAGAUGAGAGUUGAACUAAUG